GAACAAGGUCUCCGUUGGUGAACCAGCGGAGGGAUCAUUACUGAGUACUACACUCUCUACCCUUUGUGAACUAUUAUACCUGUUGCUUCGGCGGCGCCCGCAAGGGUGCCCGCCGGUCUCAUCAGAAUCUCUGUUUUCGAACCCGACGAUACUUCUGAGUGUUCUUAGCGAACUGUCAAAACUUUUAACAACGGAUCUCUUGGCUCCAGCAUCGAUGAAGAACGCAGCGAAACGCGAUAUGUAAUGUGAAUUGCAGAAUUCAGUGAAUCAUCGAAUCUUUGAACGCACAUGGCGCCUUCCAGUAUCCUGGGAGGCAUGCCUGUCCGAGCGUCGUUUCAACCCUCGAGCCCCUGUGGCCCGGCGUUGGGGAUCUGCCACGGCAGGCCCCUAAAACCAGUGGCGGACCCGAAGGGCCCUCUCCUUUGCGCAGUAGCAUUCGCCUCGCAUCGGGAGUCCUCGGCGUCCUGCCUCUAAACCCCCCACAAGCCCGCUUCGGCGGCACCAAGGUUGACCUCGGAUCAGGUAGGAAUACCCGCUGAACUUAAGC
rnacentral:misc_RNA from 1 species